rnacentral:rRNA from 1 species
CUUUUAUUGAAACCUAGUGAUAUAAAAGUUAGUGGCGGACGGGUGAGUAACGCGUGAAUAACCUGCCUUAUACUGGGGGACAACAGUUGGAAACGACUGCUAAUACCGCAUAAGCGCACAGCUCCGCAUGGAGCAGUGUGGAAAACUCCGGUGGUGUAAGAUGGAUUCGCGUCUGAUUAGUUAGUUGGCGAGGUAACGGCUCACCAAGACGACGAUCAGUAGCCGGCCUGAGAGGGUGAACGGCCACAUUGGGACUGAGACACGGCCCAAACUCCUACGGGAGGCAGCAGUGGGGAAUAUUGCACAAUGGGGGAAACCCUGAUGCAGCGACGCCGCGUGAGUGAAGAAGUAUUUCGGUAUGUAAAGCUCUAUCAGCAGGGAAGAAAAUGACGGUACCUGACUAAGAAGCCCCGGCUAACUACGUGCCAGCAGCCGCGGUAAUACGCAGGGGGCAAGCGUUAUCCGGAUUUACUGGGUGUAAAGGGAGCGUAGACGGCGGUGCAAGUCUGAUGUGAAAGCCCGGGGCUCAACCCUGGAACUGCAUUGGAAACUGUACUGCUAGAGUGCAGGAGAGGUAAGCGGAAUUCCUAGUGUAGCGGUGAAAUGCGUAGAUAUUAGGAGGAACACCAGUGGCGAAGGCGGCUUACUGGACUGUAACUGACGUUGAGGCUCGAAAGCGUGGGGAGCAAACAGGAUUAGAUACCCUGGUAGUCCACGCCGUAAACGAUGAUUACUAGGUGUCGGGGGUCCAAG